rnacentral:rRNA from 1 species
GAUGAACGCUGGCGGCGUGCUGAACACAUGCAAGUCGAACGGAAAGUCUCCUGCUUGCAGGGGUACGCGAGUGGCGAACGGGUGUGUAACACGUUGUUUAUCUGCUCAGCACGUUGGUAUAAUCCUGUGAAACUGGGUCUAAUAUCGGUAUGGACGACGGUUUUGAUGCCAUUGUGGAAAGUUUGUUCUGGGUGAGUUAAGCUCGCCGCCUAUCAGCUUGUUGGUGGUGUAGUGGCCUACCAAGGCGUCGACGGGUAGGCGGUCUGUGAGGGUGUACGGCCUAAUUGGGACUGAGAAAUGGCCGAGACUGUUAUGGGACGCAGGAGUGGAGAAUAUUGUAGAAUGGGCGCAACACUGAUGCAGCGACGACGAGAGGGGGAAGACUGCCCUAGGGUUGUAAUCUCAUUAAGCGCGGGAUGACGCGCAAGUGACGGUACCAGGAGAAGACGCACCGGCUAAUUACGUG